rnacentral:lncRNA from 1 species
GCUCCAGUUCUCCCACACAACAGCUACCCUCCUGCAUGGCUGUGCCUCAAACCCAGUUUCCGUAGAGCCUUUGAGCUGGUGACUGAGCACCUUUGUUGUGGGUUUUGUGCCCUGCUGAGAGGUGGCUGGGUGAAGAAGUGGAGCAAUAAUCAUUUUGGUUCUCUACGGUGGAGAUCGGGUGGAGCCCAAGAGCAGAUCCUCUCACUUGAAGAAGAACAAAGAAGACGCUGUCUUUUCUAUAAAGCCACCAGCGGUCUCGAGGCAGAGAGUGGAAGGCGCGGCGUCAGCUGCAGCAGCCACGGCGAUGGCAACCACAGCAGCAGCGUCGGAGGAGGUGGCGGCGGUGGCAGCAUUGGUGGUGGCAGCGCGGCCCAUUUCAGGUCUCCAUGGCAACAGAGUGUGAACGUGUUUGGCUCGUGGAGCAGGCCGGAGUGUGUCGAAGAGCUUCACCAGCAGGCUCAGCUCAACCUCCAGAGCCUGCUGCAAGGUAAGGAUGGAAAACAGCAGGCGAGGGAUGGAGGAAUGGAUGGCUGGAGGGAGGGAACGAAGAGGUGUGUGUGUUGGGAUGGGAGUGUGUGUGCUGUAAUUUGAGUGGGUGGGAAAGGCAUUAAGGGAAGGGGUGGUAGGGAAAGUGUUUACGUGUGUGUGUGUGUGUGUGUGUGUGUGUGUGUGUGUGGUGUUGGACUGCGCUUGAAAAGGGUGUGUGACGACCCCUGUAAACAUGCAGACAUGCAACCUGUGUGUGUGUUCUCCAAUUUAAUCAUGUGUUUACGUAUAUUGCAGUUUAAGAAACGUAAGCGUGUGUGUGAUGUUGAUGGAUGUGUGUUGCAUUCACCUUGCAGUGUUGUUUUUUAAGUAUGUUGGGUGCAUUUCUUAGCAGAAUCAACACUGAUGAGAGGUUGAUGUGGCACGUUAGUGGUUUUCUCAGCUAAUGUGUGUGUUUUUGCGAUGGAAGUAAGUCAUCGGUGUGAAAACUGAAGGUGGGAUUCCAUCGUUUUAACAAUAAUCUCUUGUUUACGGAAGAUGCUGCUCUGCUGCGUUAAAUCCGUGCUCAUGGGAGCGAAGACUCUUCUGUAUUUCUGUUCCUUUUCCUCUUCACCAGCUGGCUUUCUCUCUCGUUUUCUACAUCUCUUCAUGUGACUCAUGCCGUCUUUGCCUUUCCUUGUCCUUUCCAUUAAAACAAUGGCAUCUGGACGAACACGGGGGAGGAAAUGUGGCAAACUAUAACACUUGAGUGAGGAAGUGAAUUCAUCACACAUCAUAUUUCGAUGCUAUUUUGCUCUGAUCUUUGAUUAAAAUCUCUCUUUAAGCUGUUUGGGCAGAAAUGUGGUGGGUCUCUUAUGCCUGAUGUCAUCAUCCCACACCAGAAUGUUACCUCCACAGACUGUUUGGAAGGAAAUCUUAAAUAGUCUAAAUAAUGAUGCACAAAUUACCUCAAUGAUCCAGUUUAGCUGUAAUUCUGGAGCAAACGUCUCUGUUCAUUGCUCCUGGUUGUAGAGUGAAGUGUGUAGCUGCAGAUGUUUGUUUUUAUGGUAAUGCUGCCUUAAGCACACUGAUAAACAAUCCAUCAUGCCGUAGAUCUAACAAGCUGUUGGAAACACCCCUCAGAGGUUCUGAUCCUUACCGACAUGACACCAUCACAAAGUUUUAUUAUUGAUGGGAAUCUCCAGUUCCACCACAUCCCAAAGGUUCUGGACUAAUUGAGUUCUGGUAACCGUAGAGGUCAUUGGAGUCCAGUGAACCUAUCGUUAGAGACGAUGUGAGCUUUGUGACACGGUGCUUUAUCCUGCUGGAAGUAGCCAUCAGAAAAUGGGUCCAUGUGGUCAUAAGGGGGUGGACACAUUCAGGAGAAACACUCAGGUAAGCUGUGGUGUUUAAAACAAGCUCAGGUGGUGCUAAGAGGUCAGGUGGUACAAGGUGGGUAAGAACAUCUCCGCACCAUUAUUACACCACCAGCAGCAGCCUGAAGCAUUGAUACAAGGCAGGAUGGAUCCAUGCUUUCAUGUUGGUGACACCAAAUUCUGACCCAAACAUCUGAACGUUACAGCUGAGAUCCACACUCGAGCAUUUUUCCUCGUCCAGUUCUGGUGAUCCUGUGUGAACUGUAGCCUCGCAUUCCCGUUCUUAGCCAGGUGAAUUCUGGAACCAUGGUUAUUCUUUACUACUGUUGUCUUUCUAUAAUUCACAACCAGUCUCACCAUCUUCCUCUGACCUCAACAAUUUCUGCUAGCUGCAUAGUUUCUCUUCUUCAGACCAUUCUCUGUUAACCCCAGAGAUGGGUGUGGGUGAAAGUCCCAGUAGAUCAGCAGUUUUUACAGUAUAUAUAUAAUAUAUAAUAUAUAUUAUAUAUAAUAAAAAGUAUAUCUGGUACCAACAACUGUUCCACGUGUAAAGCCACUUACAUUUCCUUUCUUAUCAAUUCUGAUGCUUAGCAUGAACCUCUGUGGUUCAUCUUCACCUCUUCUAGGGCAAGUCAACACAAGCCGAUUUUACAAAACAAUGCCUUCAAUUUGCCGCAAUGCCGUGGCGGCAUCAGGGAGACUUCGGUCGUUUAUAAAUAAUCAGACCGUGGCGGCAAUGUUGCACAACUGUGUCCUUUUUACAAAAGAUUGUGCGAUUGCGACAUAAGGGGAGUGUGGGAGCGGACUCGGCACUGCAGCAGACUUCUGUUUAUCUUGGACAUAAAUAGCUUUUUGUUGCGACUGAAGCUGCGAUCGCUAUGCUCCUAAAGGUGCCUGUCCUCCACAUUCCCUGUGCAGUGUCUGGUGACAUGACCUCCAGCUCUAAGGGAGAGAAGCUCCUGGAGCGCUGCAUGGCUCCGGUUUAUCAUCUCAGCUGAUUCUGGUUAGAAAAGCGAAACUUACAGCCCGCGUUUACUUCCAUUUUCAAUACAGUUGCCGGCCAGAGCUUGGCAGUAACUCCCCAUGUGAUCAUGACACCUUCUUCUGUUCCACCACGGCGCAAUCUCCGUUUAUAAGUCAAAUAUUUACCACAAUAUUACUACCAAGCGAGGCGGAACGAAUGCCGCAAAAUUUGCGCAACGCCAUGCUGGCAUGACAAGACACACCGUUGUGGUAACUACGCCGGCAUGGUGUGUCUUGUAAAAAGGGCUACUGCUGUUCAUAUGGAUGGAUUAUUUGUGAAUCUGUGUCAGUUCAGUUCCACUUAAUUAUAAAUA